UAGGGAAUCUUCCGCAAUGGGCGAAAGCCUGACGGAGCAACGCCGCGUGAGUGAUGAAGGUCUUCGGAUCGUAAAACUCUGUUAUUAGGGAAGAACAAAUGUGUAAGUAACUAUGCACGUCUUGACGGUACCUAAUCAGAAAGCCACGGCUAACUACGUGCCAGCAGCCGCGGUAAUACGUAGGUGGCAAGCGUUACCCGAAAUUAUUGGGCGUAAAGCGCGCGUAGGCGGUUUAUUAAGUCUGAUGUGAAAGCCCACGGCUCAACCGUGGAGGGUCAUUGGAAACUGGAAGACUUGGUGGCAGAAGAGUAAAGGGGAAUUCCAGGUGUGGGAGUGAAAUGCGCAAAGAUAUGGAGGAACACCAGUGGCGAAGGCGACUUUCUGGUCUGUAACUGACGCUGAUGUGCGAAAGCAUGGGGAUCAAAGGGG
rnacentral:rRNA from 1 species